rnacentral:lncRNA from 1 species
UUCAGUUCACUAAGAACUCUUCAAGGCCAGCAGCCUUGGGACUCUUCUAGUUCCCUAGGAACUCUUCAAGCCCAGCAGGCUUGGAACUUCGUUUAGUCCCUCUGGACAAGGACCCUUUGGCCCUGCUUUGUUUAGUCCCUCCGGACAAGGACCCUUUGGCCCUGCUUCAUUUAGUCCUUCUGGACAAGGACCCCUCAGGCCCUGGCUUCGUUG